GGCCAUAUCACAUUGAAACAUGAUUUCAGUACGAUCACCGUAGUUAAGCAGCAUCGAGCCUGAUCAGUAUCUAGAUGGUUGACCGCUUGGGAAUACCAGGUGCUGUAAG